CAAAUCUGUCCGUGGUUGGGGAAUGCAUUAUGGUACAUUAGAACGUGCAGUGUUAAAUUUUCAACCAUUUGGAGGGUUCCAAGACAAAUAAUGACCUUCCCUCAUGAAGCGAGAAGUCUCUAUCCAUGUUUAUUAUGCUCUUGCCCAUGCCUAUUCCUUAUGCUUUU